rnacentral:rRNA from 1 species
GAUGAACGCUGGCGGCGUGCCUAAUACAUGCAAGUCGAGCGAACAGACGAGGAACUUGCUCCUCUGACGUUAGCGGCGGACGGGUGAGUAACACGUGGAUAACCUACCUAUAAGACUGGGAUAACUUCGGGAAACCGGAGCUAAUACCGGAUAAUAUAUUGAACCGCAUGGUUCAAUAGUGAAAGACGGUUUUGCUGUCACUUAUAGAUGGAUCCGCGCCGCAUUAGCUAGUUGGUAAGGUAACGGCUUACCAAGGCGACGAUGCGUAGCCGACCUGAGAGGGUGAUCGGCCACACUGGAACUGAGACUCGGUCCAGACUCCUACGGGAGGCAGCAGUAGGGAAUCUUCCGCAAUGGGCGAAAGCCUGACGGAGCAACGCCGCGUGAGUGAUGAAGGUCUUCGGAUCGUAAAACUCUGUUAUUAGGGAAGAACAAAUGUGUAAGUAACUAUGCACGUCUUGACGGUACCUAAUCAGAAAGCCACGGCUAACUACGUG